AAGGUACUAGUAAAAGGAUAUUACACUGCAUUGUCAAGGCAGAGAUGUGGGUUACACCCCCACGUACCUUA
rnacentral:tRNA from 2 species